rnacentral:rRNA from 1 species
GAUGAACGCUGGCGGCGUGCCUAAUACAUGCAAGUCGAGCGAACAGACGAUGAUCUUGCUCCUCUGACGUUAGCGGCGCACGGGUGAGUAACACGUGGAUCACCUCCCUAUCAUACUGGGAUAACUUCGGGAAUCCGGCGCUAAUACCGUAUAAUAUCUUGAUCCGCAUGGUUCAAUAGUGAAAGUCGGUUUUGCUGUCACUUAUAGAUGCAUCCGGGCCGCAUUAGCUAGUUGGUAAGGUAACGGCUUACCAAGGCUACGAUGCGUAGCCGACCUGAGAGGGUGAUAGGCCACAUGGGAAGGGAGACAGGGACAAGAAGACUAAGGGAGGGAGCAGAAGGGAAUGUGACGCAAUGGGAGAAAGCAUGACGGAGCAACGCCGAGUGAGUGAUGAAGGUGUUGGGAGCGUAAAAAUCUGUUAUUAGGGAAGAACAAAUGUGGAAGUAAAUAUGCACGGAGUGACGGUAACGAAUCAGAAAGCAACGGCUAACUACGUG